AAACCAGCUCAGAGCUCGUGUCACGAAAGGCAGAAGCUUCGGCCUGUUCCGUUGAGCUCUCUGAGCCCGACUGAGGCUGGGGAGAGGAUCGCCCGGAAGAGACACCCAGGAGUAGGCUCACUGGUAUCGGACAUCUCACUUCUCUGUGCUGCGGUGGGUGUAGGGACCAGCUUUCUCUUUGGAACUUGCCUUGCAAUCCCACAAUUUGGGUGUGUGUUUUAAAGAUCAAGUGGUAUCCCUUGUAUUCUUGAGGAUGUUGCUGAGGGUCUUUGGGGACUGUUGCGUGCACAAGUGUCACGCGUGGAAGGCAUGGGACAAAAAUCUGUUCUUAGGAUACACGUGAUACUGAGCAAGGGUGCUGUUCAGAAACCCAGCCUUUACCUGCAUCUUCCCCUUCCAGCGUAGAUAAUAGCUGAAGUCUGGUGGGGAUCCAGUUACAUCUCCGAAAAUAGAAAACGGACUUAGAGGAAUUCCUUCCGCACCAGCACAACAUCAGGUGCGCCCUUUCACUCAGCCUUAACACAGGUUUGCAGUCUUGGGAGUGUGAGAGAGGCCGAGGAAGAGUGAUCAGACUUGUCGUGAAGGAUAAUGGUCUGAAUGAAUGAUGUGUGCCAGAGAUCUAGGUGGCCACCCCAGUGCCUGUUUCUA
ensembl:processed_transcript Foxl2os forkhead box L2, opposite strand